rnacentral:lncRNA from 1 species
CGGUAGUCUCUUUUCUUUUGCUUAAGGGAAGAUGGCUUGGGGAUUCGACAAAGGCAAUAAUACAUUUUGGGGAGGUUUCAAAAUCAAGGGGAAUGGUUUAAAGGGGAAAAGACUAAAAGGUCCCUCUAUGAUAUUUGAAAGUAACUACGAAAAACAAAACCUCUGCGACACGGUGGCUAUUGCAGGGACUAGCCUCUGCGGUGCGGCGCCCAUCAUGUGAUCCAGCCUCUAUAGCACGGUGACUAUCGUGUUAUCCAUCUUUUAUGAUGCGGGGCUAUCGUGGAGGCUUACUGCUUCUGUGUCCCAAAAAUACUCCAAACCUAGUCUAAAAGCUCCAAAAUUCAUCUG